CGGCGGGCGGGGCGGGGGCACGGGGGGCCUACGGGAGGCAGCAGUGGGGAAUAUUGGACAAUGGGCGCAAGCCUGAUCCAGCCAUGCCGCGUGGAUGAUGAAGGCCCUAGGGUUGUAAAGUCCUUUUAACGGGGAAGAUAAUGACGGUACCCGUAGAAUAAGCCCCGGCUAAUUCCGUGCCAGCACCCGCGGUA
rnacentral:rRNA from 1 species